GCGGUUUGUCGCGUCUGCUGUGAAAUCCCGAGGCUCAACCUCGGGCCUGCAGUGGGUACGGGCAGACUAGAGUGCGGUAGGGGAGAUUGGAAUUCCUGGUGUAGCGGUGGAAUGCGCAGAUAUCAGGAGGAACACCGAUGGCGAAGGCAGAUCUCUGGGCCGUAACUGACGCUGAGGAGCGAAAGGGUGGGGAGCAAACAGGCUUAGAUACCCUGGUAGUCCACCCCGUAAACGUUGGGAACUAGUUGUGGGGUCCAUUCCACGGAUUCCGUGACGCAGCUAACGCAUUAAGUUCCCCGCCUGGGGAGUACGGCCGCAAGGCUAAAACUCAAAGGAAUUGACGGGGACCCGCACAAGCGGCGGAGCAUGCGGAUUAAUUCGAUGCAACGCGAAGAACCUUACCAAGGCUUGACAUAUACGAGAACGGGCCAGAAAUGGUCAACUCUUUGGACACUCGUAAACAGGUGGUGCAUGGUUGUCGUCAGCUCGUGUCGUGAGAUGUUGGGUUAAGUCCCGCAACGAGCGCAACCCUCGUUCUAUGUUGCCAGCACGUAAUGGUGGGAACUCAUGGGAUACUGCCGGGGUCAACUCGGAGGAAGGUGGGGAUGACGUCAAAUCAUCAUGCCCCUUAUGUCUUGGGCUUCACGCAUGCUACAAUGGCCGGUACAAAGGGCUGCAAUACCGUGAGGUGGAGCGAAUCCCA
rnacentral:rRNA from 1 species